rnacentral:rRNA from 1 species
AGCGAACGCUGGCGGCAGGCCUAACACAUGCAAGUCGAACGAAGUCUUCGGACUUAGUGGCGGAAGGGUGAGUAACACGUGGGAACGUGCCUUUAGGUUCGGAAUAACUCAGGGAAACUUGUGCUAAUACCGAAUGUGCCCUUCGGGGGAAAGAUUUAUCGCCUUUAGAGCGGCCCGCGGCUGAUUAGCUAGUUGGGGGGGUAAAGGCUAACCAAGGCGACGAUCAGUAGCUGGUCUGAGAGGAUGAUCAGCCACAUUGGGACUGAGACACGGCCCAAACUCCUACGGGAGGCAGCAGUGGGAAAUCUUGCGCAAUGGGCGAAAGCCUGACGCAGCCAUGCCGCGUGAAUGAUGAAGGUCUUAGGAUUGUAAAAUUCUUUCACCGGGGACGAUAAUGACGGUACCCGGAGAAGAAGCCCCGGCUAACUUCGUGCCAGCCGCCGCAGUAA